AGCAGGUCAUCCUGACCACCCUCAAGCCAGACCAUCUUGAGUGCCAGUGAGGGCGGGAGCUGGAGAGGGAGAGUUCCAGCCGCGCUGAGGUCUCUUCUUUGAGGAAUGAUCAGCCAGGUCAAGUGAUCCGCCUCAUGCCAGCACGAGCUCAGGCCACAGCAUCCGGAACAGAGCAGACCCCACUGGCCAGGGUGCCCCCCGAUGUCACAGAUGCCAUCCUGGUGUCAAGGACAGGCGUGCUCCAUGAACACGUGCUGAGCUGAGCAGUUUUCUCAUCCAAUGUGAAGAGGCCAGCGCCUUCAUCUGCUCGCGAAGCAGCCAGAGCCCUGGAGACAACGUUUCCUGAGUGAACGUUCACCCCAGGAAGUGGACUGUUCAGACAGAGACCCGGGGGACGGGGGUCAGGGGACAGAAGCUUUUCAGAGUCUGGAUCCCCAGCCAGAUCCGGCCAGGUCCAAAGCCCGCUCAGCUCCUCCUCCAGGGAUGCUGUCCUUGCCAGCUGGAACCAGCGCCUCCGAGUGGGACGGAACCGACCCCUAGAAAGCCCUGUUUCUAGAGUCCCACCGGAAAAGGGGCUCAGAUGCCCACGGGGUGAGGGUUCUGGCAAAAUAGAAGCCCCCCCCUCUUAGCCUCAGCCGCAUCGAUGCCUCUCCUUUCACAUCCCCCCGACCCCAUGCAGUACUUCGCCAGGCUCUGAGCUGAGGAGUUCCCCGCCCCCCCCAGACCAGCCCAACAGAAGGGUCUUCAUGGGCUGGGCUCACGCACAGGCCCCAUCCCGGCUCCUGAUGGGCCCGGCUCCUGCUGCCCCAGCCCUCAGGCCCCUUUGGCCUUCCUGCCUCCUGACUCGGUCUUCCUCCUCAGCAUUUUCUGGGGUUUGUGAGUGUUGGGCACAGACCCACAGCUGCCUCAGCAUAUGCGGAAGGCCCGGAUGCAUCCCCACGUGUGUGGGACUCUGGCGUCUGCAGAAGAGGAAAAGGGGACAUCUGGGUGUAACAGGCCCAGCACCGGGGGGGACCCUCCCAUCACCCCCUCUGCUGACUUCAUCCUCUCCCCUAGACCUCAGUCUCCCUAGGCUCCUCAGUGAGGGGAAAGAGGAGGGACUGGACGCACAGUCCCAGUCUCGGCUCGGAGAUGGUGCACUCUUCAGCAUGGCCACUUUGGGGACUCAAGGUCUGGUCAGCAGGAGUACAAGUUCCCUCACUUCUGGGCACGUUGGCCCAGAGAGGCCAUGGCAAACCAGUCAUAUAACAAAUCAGAGGUAAGAACGACAUGACCCUGCACAGCUGGGGUUUAACAUGCAGCCCAAACAAGCCAAGAGCCCUCCGAGGUCUGCAGAAAGAGCUAGAUGCUCCUCACUGAGCGUCACCGGAAGCCAUCACACAUAUGGCUCUCCACAACGACCCCAUGAGCCAUCCUCUGUCACCAUGGCAUUCUGCGGAGGAGGCACUGAGACCCGGUGAAGACAGUGGCAUGGACUGAACGGCAGCGGCCCGGCUCCAAACCCCGGAGGCUGGUGAUUCAAUGUAGCGGGCGCUCUGGUGGCCCUGCAGCUGUAAUGGCCUCGCUUUCGUGGCCAUCGGAGACCUUCUCCCUCAUUGGCCAACCUGCAUCUCAAGGCCAAAGCCAGUCCUUCAAGAGCGCUCAGGCUCCAAGGGCGUGGUCAUCAUGGGACUAGAAAGGCAUUUCCCAGGAAGGAAAAGCCCUUGUUCUGCACAUGGAAAUGUUAAUGCUGGAAUUCUGUUGCCCUGGGAAACAAGUUCUCUCCUUAACUGUUUGGGACCAGAUUGGAAGGCAGUGGUAAGGCUUGGAAUGUCUACCUGGGAAAACGGGGAAGGGGGGGGGGCAGGGCUGGACGGACAGGCAGACGGCUGGAGGCGGGCACUGGGGGUCAAGGCCACCCAGCUGCAGGGCCCAGCUGACAUCGUCAUUGUACACCCCGCCUAUGCCGGCAGCGGGCUCAGGCCUGGCCAGGUGAGCAGAGAUGCGAUCUCAGAGAGGGCUGGUCCACGGCUUCCACUACAGCUGCGGAACUCGGUCCCAGUACGGUCAUCCAGAGGGGGCCCCGCAUUGGAACCCAGGUCACUCUCCCCGGAGAGGCAGUGGCAUGCUGCAGGAGAUGUCUGCAAGGCGGCGUGUAACACCCACUGCCUAGCGUGGGUGCCUAUGGGGCGGUGCAGGCCUUUCUGGCCAGAUGUUCAGAACUACAUUUCUUCUAGAGCACGUGAGGCUUGGAGCUCCCACCAUCCGCACGUGCCUCCCUUCCCCCGCUUUGACUGGACACCUGCGCUCGGUGGGGCGCGCAGAGGACACUGAGGGCACAGCCAGCGCCAGCACAGACGGCAGGUGUGGUCCCCACAGGACUUACGUCCCACGGGCCAGAGUGAUGUCAGGGUAAAUCCAGAAAUGACUAAUAGAAGUAUGAAUUAACAUGAAUAAUAUAUAGGCACAAAUUCAUACUUGAAAUGGUUACAAGUAUCGAUUGCUGUAAAUCAGGACCUAUAGAGUAAA